UCGGCUGAAACGAAUCAACAGAAUAGAUGAAAAUUAUUCAGAGUCAUGAGGCACGCUUAGACGAGAGAUUCUCUGGACCACUUUUCGCAUACGAGUCAUUGCCUGUGAACUUUUGGCUUCUAUAAACGCAUCUCACGUCCUGCGGAUUCUUCACCUCCGUUAAUUGCUAGAACUGAGAUUUCGUAACAUGAAAACGCUGAGAAGAGGAAUUCGAAAAUUCUUUUUCCAACGUAGAAAGAGAAAGUUGUAGAGACAAGUCAAUUUGUAAGCUGCGAGGAAUCUACCAUCGAUUCCACUUUCCAUAAUGGAUUGUCCCUCACCUCCUUCUUCGGUGACCACGAUGAGGGGCUCAGCCUCGGUGAGAAUGUGCCUAACCCUGGGAACCGGAAACUCUGGAUCCAGGGGAAGGUAGGCCAUCCCGGCCUUCAAGGUAGCCAGCAAGAGGGUCGGAAG